AGCGAACGCUGGCGGCAGGCUUAACACAUGCAAGUCGAGCGGGCGUAGCAAUACGUCAGCGGCAGACGGGUGAGUAACGCGUGGGAACGUACCUUUGGUUCGGAACAACACAGGGAAACUUGUGCUAAUACCGGAUAAGCCCUUACGGGGAAAGAUUUAUCGCCGAAAGAUCGGCCCGCGUCUGAUUAGCUAGUUGGUGAGGUAACGGCUCACCAAGGCGACGAUCAGUAGCUGGUCUGAGAGGAUGAUCAGCCACAUUGGGACUGAGACACGGCCCAAACUCCUACGGGAGGCAGCAGUGGGGAAUAUUGGACAAUGGGGGCAACCCUGAUCCAGCCAUGCCGCGUGAGUGAUGAAGGCCCUAGGGUUGUAAAGCUCUUUUGUGCGGGAAGAUAAUGACGGUACCGCAAGAAUAAGCCCCGG
rnacentral:rRNA from 1 species